GACGAACGCUGGCGGCGUGCCUAAUACAUGCAAGUCGAGCGGACCACUUCGGUGGUCAGCGGUGGACGGGUGAGUAACACGUGGGCAACCUGCCUGUAAGACUGGGAUAACACCGGGAAACCGGUGCUAAUACCGGAUAAUCCUUUCCUCAACAUGAGGGAAAGCUGAAAGACGGUUUCGGCUGUCACUUACAGAUGGGCCCGCGGCGCAUUAGCUAGUUGGUGAGGUAACGGCUCACCAAGGCAACGAUGCGUAGCCGACCUGAGAGGGUGAUCGGCCACACUGGGACUGAGACACGGCCCAGACUCCUACGGGAGGCAGCAGUAGGGAAUCUUCCGCAAUGGACGAAAGUCUGACGGAGCAACGCCGCGUGAGCGAUGAAGGCCUUCGGGUCGUAAAGCUCUGUUGUCAGGGAAGAACAAGUACCGGAGUAACUGCCGGUACCUUGACGGUACCUGACCAGGAAGCCACGGCUAACUACGUGCCAGCCGCCGCUGUAACAC
rnacentral:rRNA from 1 species